rnacentral:rRNA from 1 species
GGGUGACGAAGCGACGCCGCGUGGGUGAGGAAGGCCCUCGGGUUGUAAAGCCCUGUCAGGAGUUAAGAAAUGUAAGUGCGCUAAUAUCGCAUUUAUUUGACGAAGGCUCCAAAGGAAGCCACGGCUAACGCUGUGCCAGCAGCCGCGGUAAUACAGAGGUGGCAAGCGUUGUUCGGAAUUAUUGGGCGUAAAGAGCACGUAGGUGGAUUUGUAAGUCAGAUGUGAAAGCCUUCUGUUCAACGGAAGAAUUGCAUCUGAAACUGCGAAUCUUGAGUAUAGGAGGGGAGAAUGGAACUUCUGGUGGAGCGGUGAAAUGCGUAGAUAUCAGAAGGAACGCCGGCGGCGAAAGCGAUUCUCUGGCCUAUUACUGACACUCAGUGUGCGAAAGCUAGGGGAGCAAACGGGAUUAGAUACCCCGGUAGUCCUAGCCGUAAACGAUGGGCACUAAGUAGAGG